AUUCUCCCAAAUCAUCCCCCUGAACGCACCCGAUCUCGUCUGAUCUCGGAAGCUAAGCAGGGUCGGGCCUGGUUAGUACUUGGAUGGGAUACUU
rnacentral:rRNA from 1 species